ensembl:lncRNA
CGGGAGGCCUGGGGUCCCGGGCCUCGGCGGCCUGCGGGUGAGCUGCCCUUCCUCUGGGAUCCCGGCGCAGGUGCUGCCCUCCACGGUGUUACGGUGCAUCAAGAAGUUCCUGACCAGAUGUUGAGCAGAUGCCUCUAGGGGCCCUCAAGCUUCUCAGCCUCCAGAAUUACACCUGCCGACUCGACUCUGCAUGCCCAGGCUGUUGGUCAAGGAGAAGCAGGGCCAAGGGCUUCCUGGUGACACAUUUGUGCAGUCAAGUCUCACGGCUGCCUGCUGCUUCCAGACCUGGUUCUGUGCUGGGUGCCUCCUCCUGUGUACACCACACAAGUCAUGCUGGCCCAGGGGGUGGACAGGACACGGACAGCUCUAUUCUCAGUGCCUGUGGCCACA